GCUGGCGAGACGACAAACUGGCUGCCAUCAGGAACGUUUGGGACGGGUGGUUGGAGCGCCUACCACUGAUGUACAAUCCAGGCUCUGGGGUGACAGUGGACGAGCGCCUGGUCCCUUUCAGAGGUCGCUGUCCAUUCAAACAGUACAUCCCAAGCAAACCAGGCAAGUAUGGGAUCAAGAUCUGGGCAGCAUGUGAUGCCAGGAGCAGCUACGCCUGGAAUAUGCAGGUUUACACAGGGAAACCUGUUACUGGAAGGCCAGAAAAAAAACAAGGCAUGCGUGUUGUGUUGGACAUGACAGUCGGUCUCAAGGGGCAUAAUAUCACAUGUGAUAACUUUUUCACAUCACAUGGGCUCAGGAGCUGCUGAAAAGAAAGCUCACCAUGGCGGGGACAGUGAGGAAGAAUAAGCCUUAACUUCCCCCUGCACUGGUUUCGACCAGAGGGAGAAAUGCACUCUCAUCCAAAUUUGCUUUCACUGAAACACAGUCUUGUCAUAUUUGCCCAAGAAAAUUAAGAAUGUCAUCCUGAUGAGCACUCUACACAAAUACGCCGCUGUCAGCAAAGCAGAGCACAGGAAACCCCAGAUCAUCCUGGACUACAACAGAAAAAAGGCAUUGACUGCCUUGAUAAGCAUACUGGUACAUACACCUGCAAGUGAAUGACAGCUCGUUGGCCUGUGGCAGUGUUCCACAACAUCCUUGAUGUGUCUGCAUGUAAUGCAUAUGUGGUGUGGACAGCGAUUGACCCAGCCUGGAAUCAGGGGAAAUGUUUCAAGAGGAGACUCUUCCUGGCAGAGCUUGGGAAAGCUUUAGUGACUCCUCUAAUUCAACGGCGCCAGCACCUUCCCCGCACACCAGCCUAUGGCAGUCUGGUGAGGAGUCUGCAAGCCCCAGCCACUGCCCUGGCCGCUCUGCGCCCAAAACAGGGGCAGAAACAGAAGAGUUCAUGUUGAUGUUCUGUGAAUUUGGUCUGUUUUGAUUUUUCUGUCCUUUUUUUACAAUAAAUGUUAAUUUUGGAACACAACUUUCAAUUAGUGUGUCUAUUCACUGCAGUUAUUCAUGUAAACCAGUAGUCUGAGACAUUGUUUACAGGUUAAAAGGGCGCUCAAUAAAAUUUGGUAAUGAGGAGGGAGAGAUACGAACACGACACAAAGAUAAACUGAUGGCAUGAUAAGUGAUCUCAAACAUUUAAUUGUGGAUCACCAUAGCCUCUUCAAGAUGACAUUCCCGACCAAGAGAUUAAUACCCAAGGAUCUUUUUAUGGUCAUUACCCGCGUUGUUUAAGACAAAUAGGCCCUCUCCUUCAUGUUUGGUGCAUGAGGUUUGAGGCCAAACACAAUUUUUUCAAAUGCUCAGUUAAGAACUUCAAAAAUGUAACCAAAACAUUGGUGAAAGCACAUCAAUCACACAUGGCCUUUUACUGGGAAACAUUUAACUUCCAAAGGUUUGAACAUGGACCAAUAUGUCUAGAGAUAGUUUCUUAUUUAGAGGGAUGUGAAAUAAUAUGUGACUGUCUUGAGCUUAGUGACCAUAAUGAUGCUCAUACUACUAAUUGGGUUAAAUGUUUUGGAAAUAAAUAUCACAUGUGUUUAUUUGUCUGCUGUGCCGUUGAAUCUGAUAUGCCAGUGUUUAAAAAAAUUAUUAACAUAGUCUUAAAAGAUGGCUGUGCAUACUUUCUUCUUGGUGAAGUUUUGACAUUGGGAUUUCAUGACCAUUUCAGUGCAUAUUGUAUCCAGGAGAGACCUAGUCCAUUUGUUAUUGUAAGCGUUAAGAGUUUGUUUUACUAUGAAGCUUUUGAUAAGCAAUAUGCUUACAAUUCUGAUGGAAACAUGUAUUUGAUCCCUAACUGUCACCUUUUCUAAUUCUGUGCUAUAUUGGAACCUUCAUUUUCCAAAAAAUAAUGAUAAAGCUAAACUUGUAUGUUGUGUCUUUUAAGAGC
ensembl:lncRNA